AACGCACAUUGCGCCCCUUGGUAUUCCAUUGGGCAUGCCUGUUCGAGCGUCAUUUACACCCUCAAGCUCUGCUUGGUGUUGGGCGUCUGUCCCCGCUUCACGUGAGGACUCGCCCCAAAUUCAUUGGCAGCGACAUCGUCGGCUUCUCGCGCAGCACAUCGCGCAUGAGAAGGCUCCUGGCGGGCUCGCGAUCAUUAAGAAAUCAUCCAGUUUGACCUCAAAUCAGGUAGGACUACCCGCUGAACUUAA
rnacentral:misc_RNA from 1 species